rnacentral:rRNA from 1 species
GAUGAACGCUGGCGGCGUGCCUAAUACAUGCAAGUCGAGCGAACAGAUAAGGAGCUUGCUCCUUUGACGUUAGCGGCGGACGGGUGAGUAACACGUGGGUAACCUACCUAUAAGACUGGGAUAACUUCGGGAAACCGGAGCUAAUACCGGAUAACAUUUGGAACCGCAUGGUUCUAAAGUGAAAGAUGGUUUUGCUAUCACUUAUAGAUGGACCCGCGCCGUAUUAGCUAGUUGGUAAGGUAACGGCUUACCAAGGCAACGAUACGUAGCCGACCUGAGAGGGUGAUCGGCCACACUGGAACUGAGACACGGUCCAGACUCCUACGGGAGGCAGCAGUAGGGAAUCUUCCGAAAUGGGCGAAAGCCUGACGGAGCAACGCCGCGUGAGUGAUGAAGGGGUUCGGCUCGUAAAACUCUGUUAUUAGGGAAGAACAAACGUGUAAGUAACUGUGCACGUCUUGACGGUACCUAAUCAGAAAGCCACGGCUAACUACGUG